CAAAUUAAUUUGCUGACAGGAAAUUUGACACAGGAAAAAAAAACACACAAAGAACAAACUGAGGUAGAAUUCAGAUAUUUUUCCUGAACCAUUUGAUUUCUGCAUUUUGUAGUUGUCCCUUUUUAGUUUAAGGCCCUUUACUCACACCUACAAAGAACCUCUACAGCAACAACACAGAGUGAGCUAAUCCAGCGUUGGUCACGGGCAGCUACAAUAACAAAAAGGAAAACAAAA
rnacentral:lncRNA from 1 species